UCCUUCUUAGCUCAGUUGGUAGUGCACGUCACUAGUCAUGACGAGGUCAGUCGUUCGAGUCGGCUAGACUCAU